GCAGGGGUAGCCAAGCCAGGACUACGGCGCUGGACUUGAGAUCCAGUGGGGCUUUGCCCCGCCUGGGUUCAAAUCCCAGCCCCUGCG
rnacentral:tRNA from 1 species